GUGCAGCAGAAGGAGCCUCCAGUCACCAGCCCAGAGCUCUCAGACAGAAUUGAGUUCCCGUACAGUAGGACUUUCCACUCAUGUCUGUAGUCUAGGAGGAGAUUGGGUUGGGCAGCCACCAGGCACGAUGGAGCAACAAUUAACCCUGGACUUGUGGAGGCAGGACCACAAGCCGAGAGAGGGCAGCAGUGGAAACCCAGCCAAACUAUUAAUGGAAGGCUGGGUCCCAUUCUUUAUUAUCCUUCUGUGGUCUCAUCACCAGCGGGGUGAGCCAAAGCCGAGGGCAAGAACACGCUGGGUGACCUUCCACACCCCAAAUGCAAGAUCAAGUGCUGUGGAGGAGGUAUAAACAGGAGAAAAAGCACUGGGUAUAAGAAUCCACAAAAGGUGAUGUAAGAAUAAAUUAGGAGUGAAUAGUAACAGUAGCAGCAACAACGAUGGCUGAGUGUUGAGUGUCUGCCACAAGCCAGGUAUAGCGCCAAGGGCUGUCUUCAAGAGACAGACACGGUAACAAAACCAACUGAUGGGGACUGCAAGGGGAGGGGUGGACAGAGGCUGCCCGGAUGUACAUCCUGGCUCUGCCACUUGCUGACAAUGUGGGCUUGCAUAUGUCACAUUAGAUGGGGAUGGCUAUAACAAUUUCCUCAUAGGCUGUCAGGAGGAUUCAGUGUAAUAAUUCAAGUUCAGUGCUGGGAACACUGUUAGUGCUCAGCAAGUGUAAAUUAUUUGUUCCUUGAAAUUAAGAAAAAAAUAAAUGAUUGAUAGAUAGGACAGAGAUAGCUAGAGAGACAGAGAUAAACAUUGAUAUAUUUAAAAAUACAUCUCUCCACCAUAUUCCAAUGCAACUGCAAUUCUACACAUUUCUUUCACUGCAAAAUUCAGUAUGUUUAUAUGACAUAAAAUAUCAGCUGUAUACCACCUGAGGGGAAACCAAGAAAGAGAAAAGCUGACAGUGACUCUUCCUGACUGAUAUUAAGUCUAAAAAUGCUGUGAUUUAUAGACUAUUCUUAGUGAGUACAGAUGGCUUUGAUAAAAUGAUU
rnacentral:lncRNA from 1 species